rnacentral:rRNA from 1 species
UAGGGAAUCUUCCGCAAUGGGCGAAAGCCUGACGGAGCAACGCCGCGUGAGUGAUGAAGGUCUUCGGAUCGUAAAACUCUGUUAUUAGGGAAGAACAAAUGUGUAAGUAACUAUGCACGUCUUGACGGUACCUAAUCAGAAAGCCACGGCUAACUACGUGCCAGCAGCCGCGGUAAUACGAAGGGGGCUAGCGUUGUUCGGAUUUACUGGGCGUAAAGCGCACGUAGGCGGACUAUUAAGUCAGGGGUGAAAUCCCGGGGCUCAACCCCGGAACUGCCUUUGAUACUGGUAGUCUUGAGUUCGAGAGAGGUGAGUGGAAUUCCGAGUGUAGAGGUGAAAUUCGUAGAUAUUCGGAGGAACACCAGUGGCGAAGGCGGCUCACUGGCUCGAUACUGACGCUGAGGUGCGAAAGCGUGGGGAGCAAACAGG